rnacentral:rRNA from 2 species
ACUGCAGUCGAGCGCGGGAAGCGAGCUGAUCCCUUCGGGGUGACGCUCGUGGAACGAGCGGCGGACGGGUGAGUAACACGUGGGCAACCUGCCUGUAAGAUCGGGAUAACUCCGGGAAACCGGGGCUAAUACCGGGUAAUACUUUCUUUCGCAUGAAGGAAAGUUGAAAGAUGGCUUCUCGCUAUCACUUACAGAUGGGCCCGCGGCGCAUUAGCUAGUUGGUGAGGUAACGGCUCACCAAGGCGACGAUGCGUAGCCGACCUGAGAGGGUGAUCGGCCACACUGGGACUGAGACACGGCCCAGACUCCUACGGGAGGCAGCAGUAGGGAAUCUUCCGCAAUGGACGAAAGUCUGACGGAGCAACGCCGCGUGAACGAUGAAGGUCUUCGGAUCGUAAAGUUCUGUUGUUAGGGAAGAACAAGUACCGUGCGAAUAGAGCGGUACCUUGACGGUACCUAACGAGGAAGCCCCGGCUAACUACGUGCCAGCAGCCGCGGUAAUACGUAGGGGGCAAGCGUUGUCCGGAAUUAUUGGGCGUAAAGCGCGCGCAGGCGGUUCCUUAAGUCUGAUGUGAAAGCCCACGGCUCAACCGUGGAGGGUCAUUGGAAACUGGGGAACUUGAGGACAGAAGAGGAGAGUGGAAUUCCACGUGUAGCGGUGAAAUGCGUAGAUAUGUGGAGGAACACCAGUGGCGAAGGCGACUCUCUGGUCUGUUUCUGACGCUGAGGUGCGAAAGCGUGGGUAGCAAACAGGAUUAGAUACCCUGGUACUCCACGCCGUAAACGAUGAGUGCUAGGUGUUAGGGGGCUUCCACCCCUUAGUGCUGAAGUUAACGCAUUAAGCACUCCGCCUGGGGAGUACGGCCGCAAGGCUGAAACUCAAAGGAAUUGACGGGGGCCCGCACAAGCGGUGGAGCAUGUGGUUUAAUUCUAAGCAACGCGAAGAACCUUACCAGGUCUUGACUCCUUGGACCUCCCUAGAGAUAGGGAUUUCCCUUCGGGGACAAGUGACAGUGUGCAUGGUUGUCUCACUCGUGUCGUGAGAUGUGGGUUAGUCCCGCAACGAGCGCACCCUGAUCCUAGUGGCAGCUUCAUUGGNCUUCUAAGGUGACUGC